GAGUAACGCGUGGGUAACCUGGCCCAUACAGGGGGAUAACACUUAGAAAUAGGUACUAAUACCGCAUAACAACAGAAAGCGCAUGCUUUUUGUUUGAAAACCAAGGUGGUAUGGGAUGGACCCGCGUCUGAUUAGCUGGUUGGCGGGGUAAAGGCCCACCAAGGCGACGAUCAGUAGCCGGCCUGAGAGGGUGGACGGCCGCAUUGGGACUGAGACACGGCCCAAACUCCUACGGGAGGCAGCAGUGGGGAAUAUUGCACAAUGGGGGAAACCCUGAUGCAGCGACGCCGCGUGAGUGAAGAAGUAAUUCGUUAUGUAAAGCUCUAUCAGCAGGGAAGAAAAUGACGGUACCUGAGUAAGAAGCCCCGGCUAACUACGUGCCAGCAGCCGCGGUAAUACGUAGGGGGCAAGCGUUAUCCGGAUUUACUGGGUGUAAAGGGAGCGUAGACGGCAGUGUAAGUCUGGAGUGAAAGGCGGGGGCUCAACCCCCGGACUGCUCUGGAAACUGUACGGCUGGAGUGCAGGAGAGGUAAGUGGAAUUCCUAGUGUAGCGGUGAAAUGCGUAGAUAUUAGGAGGAACACCAGUGGCGAAGGCGGCUUACUGGACUGUAACUGACGUUGAGGCUCGAAAGCGUGGGGAGCAAACAGGAUUAGAUACCCUGGUAGUCCACGCCGUAAACGAUGAUCACUAGGUGU
rnacentral:rRNA from 1 species